rnacentral:tRNA from 1 species
UCCUCGGUAGUGCAAUCGGUUAGCAUAACAGAUCGGAUAUCUGUAGAUGCAGGUUCGAGUCUCGCCUAAGGUU